UACGAAGGGGGCUAGCGUUGCUCGGAAUUACUGGGCGUAAAGGGCGCGUAGGCGGAUGUUUAAGUCAGUGGUGAAAGCCCAGGGCUCAACCUUGGAACUGCCAUUGAUACUGGACAUCUUGAGUGCGGGAGAGGUGAGUGGAACACAGAGUGUAGAGGUGAAAUUCGUAGAUAUUCGGUAGAACACCAGUGGCGAAGGCGACUCACUGGCCCGUAACUGACGCUGAUGCGCGAAAGCGUGGGGAGCAAACAGG
rnacentral:rRNA from 1 species